GACGAACGCUGGCGGCGUGCCUAAUACAUGCAAGUAGAACGCUGAAGGAGGAGCUUGCUCUUCUGGAUGAGUUGCGAACGGGUGAGUAACGCGUAGGUAACCUGCCUGGUAGCGGGGGAUAACUAUUGGAAACGAUAGCUAAUACCGCAUAACAGUAGAUGUUGCAUGACAUUUGCUUAAAAGGUGCAAUUGCACCACUACCAGAUGGACCUGCGUUGUAUUAGCUAGUUGGUGGGGUAGCGGCUCACCAAGGCGACGAUACAUAGCCGACCUGAGAGGGUGAUCGGCCACACUGGGACUGAGACACGGCCCAGACUCCUACGGGAGGCAGCAGUAGGGAAUCUUCGGCAAUGGACGGAAGUCUGACCGAGCAACGCCGCGUGAGUGAAGAAGGUUUUCGGAUCGUAAAGCUCUGUUGUAAGAGAAGAACGAGUGUGAGAGUGGAAAGUUCACACUGUGACGGUAUCUUACCAGAAAGGGACGGCUAACUACGUG
rnacentral:rRNA from 1 species